rnacentral:rRNA from 1 species
CAGCAGCCGCGGUAAUACGAAGGGGGCUAGCGUUGUUCGGAAUUACUGGGCGUAAAGCGCGUGUAGGCGGGUCUUUAAGUCAGAGGUGAAAUGCCAAGGCUCAACCUUGGAACUGCCUUUGAUACUGGAGAUCUUGAGUCCGGGAGAGGUGAGUGGAAUUGCGAGUGUAGAGGUGAAAUUCGUAGAUAUUCGCAAGAACACCAGUGGCGAAGGCGGCUCACUGGCCCGGAACUGACGCUGAGACGCGAAAGCGUGGGGAGCAAACAGGAUUAGAGACCCCUGUAGUCCCUGUCUCUUAUAC